UGCUGAACUGCAAGGGAAGUGCUCCCUCAUGCUGACAGAUAAAAUUGGUUAUGCUGAGAAAUUAAUUUCCUGCUUUAGCUGGGCAUUGUUUCCCAUGCCUCAGCAUCGCUCUGUGUCCUCUCCAAAGGUGCUGGAUACAGCUCUGGCACCCCCUUCCCAUCCAUCCACGGGGUGUUGCUGGGUUUGCAGCAGCAGAACUGUUUCAGAUCAGGUUUCCUCUCAGACAGUGUGUUGUUUUCACGUGGUGCUGUAGCUGGUUUGGACUGGCAGAAGCUCAUGGAUAUUUUUUUUCUCUCUGCAGUUUGGUAUUCACAGCACAGUGUCAGCCCUGGAGAUACCAUGGGUGGUGCUGAGUGUUGGGGAGAUCCUGCAGACCUGCUGCAGAGACCAGACUGAUAAAGUCUCCAGGCCUCUUGGUGAGGUGGAUCAUGGUGGAACAGUGCCUUUUUGCAAAAGCAGGGUCAGACAGAGAGCAGGAAGCUUUUCUCGUGGCUUUGUGUGAUACAAUACCCCAGAUGGUGUUUGUACUGAGACCAAAAAUGUGAAUAUGGACCCCUUGGAGUCUGAUAUGAGGGAAUUUGUCAGCAGAUAACAGCCAAAGUUGUGCAUUAGAGGAAGACACUGAGGGAGAAUGAUUACAAACAAGACUCUGAGGUAACCCAUCAUCCCAUGCCUCGGAGGAGAAGGAUGGAGACAACUGAUGUGGGAACAGCAAAGCUGUUGACUGUUUCCAGGACUUGUGAUUCACAGCCAGGAACAGGACCCUGUGCUAUCUGUGGUGCUGCAGACACGGCUCCACACGAGCCGGCCCCUGAAAUCCCAACAGCCAGCACCAAGUUCUCUGCUCAGCUUUGCCACGUCCCUUCCUGUCGAGGAUCAUUUCUCUGGGCCCCUUGAGGAACAUGACAAGGGAUGAUGCUUUGUAAAAGCCAUUUUGUAGCUGGUCGGAAUGGCCCUGGGAUGGAGGUCUCCACAGCCAAGGAUGGGAAUGCUGUGAGCCUGGA